rnacentral:rRNA from 1 species
UACGAAGGGGGCUAGCGUUGCUCGGAAUCACUGGGCAUAAAGGGUGCGUAGGCGGGUCUUUAAGUCAGGGGUGAAAUCCUGGAGCUCAACUCCAGAACUGCCUUUGAUACUGAAGAUCUUGAGUUCGGGAGAGGUGAGUGGAACUGCGAGUGUAGAGGUGAAAUUCGUAGAUAUUCGCAAGAACACCAGUGGCGAAGGCGGCUCACUGGACCGGAACUGACGCUGAGGCGCGAAAGCGUGGGGAGCAAACAGG